AUUGAACGCUGGCGGCAGGCCUAACACAUGCAAGUCGAGCGGAUGAAGGGAGCUUGCUCCUGGAUUCAGCGGCGGACGGGUGAGUAAUGCCUAGGAAUCUGCCUGGUAUUGGGGGAUAACGUCCGUAAACGGGCGCUAAUACCGCAUACGUCCUGAGGGAGAAAGUGGUGGAUCUUCGGACCUCACGCUAUCAGAUGAGCCUAGUUCGGAUUAGCUAGUUGGUGGGGUAAAGGCCUACCAAGGCGACGAUCCGUAACUGGUCUGAGAGGAUGAUCAGUCACACUGGAACUGAGACACGGUCCAGACUCCUACGGGAGGCAGCAGUGGGGAAUAUUGGACAAUGGGCGAAAGCCUGAUCCAGCCAUGCCGCGUGUGUGAAGAAGGUCUUCGGAUUGUAAAGCACUUUAAGUUGGGAGGAAGGGCAGUAAGUUAAUACCUUGCUGUUUUGACGUUACCAACAGAAUAAGCACCGGCUAACUUCGUG
rnacentral:rRNA from 1 species